rnacentral:rRNA from 1 species
AGUGAACGCUGGCGGUAGGCCUAACACAUGCAAGUCGAACGGCAGCACAGUAAGAGCUUGCUCUUACGGGUGGCGAGUGGCGGACGGGUGAGGAAUACAUCGGAAUCUACUUUUUCGUGGGGGAUAACGUAGGGAAACUUACGCUAAUACCGCAUACGACCUACGGGUGAAAGCAGGGGAUCUUCUGACCUUGCGCGAUUGAAUGAGCCGAUGUCGGAUUAGCUAGUUGGCGGGGUAAAGGCCCACCAAGGCGACGAUCCGUAGCUGGUCUGAGAGGAUGAUCAGCCAGACUGGAACUGAGACACGGUCCAGACUCCUACGGGAGGCAGCAGUGGGGAAUAUUGGACAAUGGGCGCGAGCCUGAUCCAGCCAUACCGCGUGGGUGAAGAAGGCCUUCGGGUUGUAAAGCCCUUUUGUUGGGAAAGAAAAGCAGCAGGUUAAUACCCCGCUGUUCUGACGGUACCCAAAGAAUAAGCACCGGCUAACUUCGUG